rnacentral:rRNA from 1 species
CCUACGGGCGGCUGCAGUGAGGAAUAUUGGUCAAUGGACGAGAGUCUGACCCAGCCAAGUAGCGUGAAGGAUGACUGCCCUAUGGGUUGUAAACUUUUUUUAUAUGGGAAUAAAACAGGGUAUGCAUACCCUCUUGUAUGUACCUUAUGAAUAAGGAUCGGCUAACUCCGUACCAGCAUCCGCGGUAAUACGGAGGAUCCGAGCGUUAUCAGGAUUUAUUGGGUUUAAAGGGAGCGUAGGUGGAUUGUUAGGUCAGUUGUGAAAGUUUGCGGCUCAACCGUAAAAUUGCAGUUGAAACUGGCAGUCUUGAGUACAGUAGAGGUGAGCGGAAUUCGUGGUGUAGCGGUGAAAUGCUUAGAUAUCACGAAGAACACCGAUGGCGAAGGCAGAUCACUGGACUGCAACUGACACUGAUGCUCGAAAGUGUGGGUAUCAAACAGGAUUAGAUACCCGAGUAGUC